AGCGAUUAUCUCCGGGAGCCCUGCGUCCGGGACCGCCCGGGACACUUCUCCCCGUACUUCGCUCUCGGGGCUCUGCUGUGCCUUCUCCACGGAGUAGGAUGUGAUGUCAUAGAGAAGGGGACAGGGCUAUCCAAAUUCUCUCAAUUGCUGGGAGGAGCUGCCCAGGUGUGCUGAGGGGCCUGUACUCAGGAAGAGAAACAGGGAAUCCUCCACAGCACUAGAAAAACACCCCAACUCACCAAUGACAGCAAAGCAGAUAUUGGAAGUCAUUCAGAAAGAAGGGUUAAAAGAAACAAGACCCCGGCAUGGCUUGGAGACAGCGUUGGUGUGUAUGAAGGAUCUUCCUCCAAUGAAGGAUUUGGGACAACUUUCCAUGAUGAUUAUAUUAGAGCCUCAGCUGCUUUCGUGUUGGUCAUGAGGUGAUGCUGAACCGAAUGCUUGAACUAGCAGGAGUGGCUGGGAUUGCAU
rnacentral:sRNA from 1 species